CGCGCAGGCGGUUUAUCAAGUCAGAUGUGAAAGUCCACGGCUCAACCGUGGAAGUGCAUCUGAAACUGGUAGACUUGAGUACCGGAGGGGAAAGUGGAAUUCCCGGUGUAGAGGUGAAAUUCGUAGAGAUCGGGAGGAACACCGGUGGUGAAGGCGAUUUUCUGGACGGAUACUGACGCUGAGGCGCGAAAGCGUGGGGAGCAAACA
rnacentral:rRNA from 1 species